rnacentral:rRNA from 1 species
CAUAUAUUUUAUGUGGGCGAACGGGUGAGUAACACGUGAAAGAGAGCACUACCUCUUAGCAGGGGAUAACAUUUGGAAACAGAUGCUAAUACCGUAUAACAAUGACAACCGCAUGGUUGGAAUUUAAAAGAUGGUUCUGCUAUCACUAAGAGAUGGUCCCGCGGUGCAUUAGCUAGUUGGUAAGGUAAUGGCUUACCAAGGCGAUGAUGCAUAGCCGAGUUGAGAGACUGAUCGGCCACAAUGGGACUGAGACACGGCCCAUACUCCUACGGGAGGCAGCAGUAGGGAAUCUUCCACAAUGGGCGAAAGCCUGAUGGAGCAACGCCGCGUGUGUGAUGAAGGGUUUCGGCUCGUAAAACACUGUUGUAAGAGAAGAAUGACAUUGAGAGUAACUGUUCAAUGUGUGACGGUAUCUUACCAGAAAGGAACGGCUAAAUACGUGCCAGCAGCCGCGGUAAUACGUAUGUUCCAAGCGUUAUCCGGGAUUUAUUGGGCGUAAAGCGAGCGCAGACGGUUAUUUAAGUCUGAAGUGAAAGCCCUCAGCUCAACUGAGGAAUUGCUUUGGAAACUGGAUGACUUGAGUGCAGUAGAGGAAAGUGGAACUCCAUGUGUAGCGGUGAAAUGCGUAGAUAUAUGGAAGAACACCAGUGGCGAAGGCGGCUUUCUGGACUGUAACUGACGUUGAGGCUCGAAAGUGUGGGUAGCAAACAGGAUUAGAUACCCUGGUAGUCCACACCGUAAACGAUGAGUGCUAGGUGUUUGAGGGUUUCCGCCCUUAAGUGCCGCAGCUAACGCAUUAAGCACUCCGCCUGGGGAGUACGACCGCAAGGUUGAAACUCAAAGGAAUUGACGGGGACCCGCACAAGCGGUGGAGCAUGUGGUUUAAUUCGAAGCAACGCGAAGAACCUUACAAGGUCUUGACAUCCCUUGACAACUCCAGAGAUGGAGCGUUCCCUUCGGGGACAAGGUGACAGGUGGUGCAUGGUUGUCGUCAGCCUCGUGUCGUGAGAAUGUUGGGUUAAGUCCCGCAACGAGCGCAACCCUUAUUACUAGUUGCCAGCAUUCAGUUGGGCACUCUAGUGAGACUGCCGGUGACAAACCGGAGGAAGGUGGGGAUGACGUCAAAUCAUCAUGCCCCUUAUGACCUGGGCUACACACGUGCUACAAUGGCGUAUACAACGAGUUGCCAACCCGCGAGGGUGAGCUAAUCUCUUAAAGUACGUCUCAGUUCGGAUUGUAGGCUGCAACUCGCCUACAUGAAGUCGGAAUCGCUAGUAAUCGCGGAUCAGCACGCCGCGGUGAAUACGUUCCCGGGUCUUGUACACACCGCCCGUCAGACCAUGAGAGUUUGUAACACCCAAAGCCGGUAGGGGUAACGUUUUUCAGCGCCUUGGUUCA